rnacentral:rRNA from 1 species
AGUGAACGCUGGCGGUAGGCCUAACACAUGCAAGUCGAACGGCAGCACAGUAAGAGUUUGCCCCUACUGGUGGCGAGUGGCGGACGGGUGAGGAAUACAUCGCCAUCUACUUUUUCGUGGAGGAUAACGUAGGGACACUUCCGCUAAUACCGCAUACGACCUACGGGUGAAAGCAGGGGAUCUUCGCACCUUGCGCGAUUGUUUUAGCCGAUGUCGCAUUAGCUAGUUGGCUUGGUAAAGGCUCACCAAGGCGACGAUCCGUAGCUGGUCUGAGAGGAUGAUCAGCCACACUGGAACUGAGACACGGUCCAGACUCCUACGGGAGGCAGCAGUAGGGAAUAUUGCACAAUGGGCGCAAGCCUGAUCCAGCCAUACCGCGUGAGUGAAGAAGGCCUUCGGGUUGUAAAGCCCUGUUGUUAGGAAAGAAAAUCAGCAUGUUAAUACCCCGCUGUUCUGACGGUACCUAAAGAAUAAGCACCGGCUAACUUCGUG